CAAUGCAGCCUGGAGGAGAGCUGAGAGGAGUGAGAGUGAGAGGGAGGGAGGAAAUCAGUAAACUGAAGCUAGUUUCUGGACAUCCACCAAACCUCUAAAAACAAAAACAGUGAGCUUUAUAAACAGACAGUGGAAACAGUAAAAGAAAACCAGCCGGGACCAUGGUGAACUAUCCUGGUCUGAGGGAGGAGUGCUGAUCCCUGGAGCGUUCCCUGACUGGGUUGGAUCUGCUGAGACAGAAGCUAAGAGCUAAGUCUUCCUGCUUGUAACUCUCCAGGCUUCUCCUACUCUCUCCUCUUUAACCCUCAAACCCCCCCGCAAUCAAACUGAACAUACUCAACUGCCUUCGACCCCCCCUCCAUAAAGGAACUGAAUUUAAAGGUGAUUGUGAAGCUGGAAGUUGUUUGUUUUCACGUUCAUCUGCUGAAGGAAUCUCAGUUUAACACGUGAACCUACCAGCAGGAUUCACGACUGAUGUUUGAGUUAUACUUCUGAAGGAACCUGCUUCAUGAAGGUGUUUGAUGUGGAUUUGCAGUCGCAGUGAGCAGCCGGACACAGACGGAGGCGCCGCUUCUCUUCAGACUGUCAAACAAACAAAAACCACCAACUUGUUGUCCACUGGUGCCC